GGAUUCCCCUAGUAACUGCGAGUGAAGCGGGAAAAGCUCAAAUUUAAAAUCUGGCGGCUCUGUCGUCCGAGUUGUAAUUUAGAGAAGCGUUAUCCGCGCUGGACCGUGUACAAGUCUUCUGGAAGGAAGCAUCAUAGAGGGUGAGAAUCCCGUCUUUGACACGGACUGCCAGGGCAUUGUGAUGCGCUCUCAAAGAGUCGAGUUGUUUGGGAAUGCAGCUCAAAAUGGGUGGUAAAUUCCAUCUAAAGCUAAAUAUUGGGGAGAGACCGAUAGCGAACAAGUACCGUGAGGGAAAGAUGAAAAGAACUUUGGAAAGAGAGUUAAACAGUACGUGAAAUUGUUGAAAGGGAAACGCUUGAAGUCAGUCGCGCCGUUCAGGACUCAGCCUUGCUUUGCUUGGUGUACUUCUUGUUCGGUGGGUCAGCAUCAAUUUUGGUCGGUGGAUAAAGGCUCAGAGAAUGUGGCACCUUCGGGUGUGUUAUAGCUUUGGGUCGCAUACAUCGGCUGGGAUUGAGGAACUCAGCACGCCGCAAGGCCGGGUACUUGUACCACGUACGUGCUUAGGAUGCUGGCAUAAUGGCUUUAAUCGACCC
rnacentral:sRNA from 1 species